GCGCAAGGGGAGGUCUCUCUCUGCGCCCCCCUCUCUGCGAAAAGAGAGAGUACGGAGACCCAAUCUUACGUCGCCUGCCUGCGUCAUCCGGGACUGCUGGUUGAUGCGAUGCAUCCCUCCCAUCCCAUCCCCACCCCAGGAGCGAUGCGUCCGUACGCGGUCAUGGAUCUGCACGCCCUACGCCCUCCCUAGCCUGUUACCAACGGAGGCAGGAUAUUACUGGAUGUGUCAGAUGCUUGUUAAAGUAUUACAUUCACGGUGCAACAAGUGAGAUCUGGUGAACAUUCAUGUGGCACUUGCAAAGCUCCAUUGGGACGAACUUCCUUACCAACCAGAUGAGUAUUCGGUGAGUAAGAGCAUCUACAACCACACACACCAAUUUGAGCCCCCCAAAUGUCGGCGGAUGUGUCCGGGUGCCAGUCAUACCGAGCAUUUGGGCUGGGUUUGCCGGGUCCGGUUGGGUGCCAUUUUGUUGUUCUGGCAGUGACCGGGCAGGCCGCCCGGACGUUUAGGGUGGUACGGGGGCUCCAUUUGUAGAUGCUCUAAUGACAGCCGACUAAAAUAUAAUAUGAAAACUUUGUCAAAACUAUAUUUGCACGGCUCUUGAAUUUUUGUCAAGUUGAUGUCAUUAUUUGCAUUUUUUCCAAAAAA